AUUUUACUUACUGGAGGUUCUCUAUUCAGAGAUGUUGGCUUACAGAAGCUGAUUGAUGUAUAUAUUGUGUCACUUGACGAUAUUUUUGGGGCCACAGGGUCUGUAGAUACCACUGGGUAUAGUUAUGGUCACUGGACCUGUUUUUUUCUGUUUGAUGUAUGCUGAGCAGUUACGCAUAUUUCAAGGUAAAUAUUUAUUUAAUUUAUAAUUAUUUUACAGAAAUAUUUUUCAACGGGAUUUUGGAAAAAUGACACACAAGUAAAGCACACAGAACUUAAGAUUUUGUUCAGAAAAAAUGAAGAAUUCAGUUAUUGACUCUAAAGCCAGAAAUACAACUGUUAAAUAUGCAUACAGUUUUAAAACGUUUUGUAGUGUGGUCUGAAAAGUAUAUACAGAAAUCAAGUCUGUCCUUCCUGCCAACGAAAUUUAUGUCAGUUUAUAUCUUCAAAUAUCUAAUGCAAAGUGCUAAACACUACAGUACUAUAGAAGCUGCAUGUUACGCUAUAAAGUGGGCUCACAGUUUAGCUGGGUUUGAAGACCCAUGCGCCUCGGAUAUAGUUAAAUGUAUUGUGGAGGCAUCUAAAAGAAAGCUUAAUAGGCCUAUUCAGAAAAAAAGAACCGAUGAAUGCAAACAUCAUGCUCAGUCUUUUUAAGAAAUUUGGCGGUACAAAUAGUUCGUUAAAAAAUCUUAGAUUAUUAGCUAUGUGUUUUCUGGCUUAUUCAGGAUUUUUAAGGUACAGCGAAUUAUGUCAGAUUAGAGCUAAGAACAUUACAUUCGGAAACGAUCAUAUUGAUAUUUAUAUUGAGAGUAGCAAAACCGAUUGUUAUAGAAAAGGAAAAAACGUUUUGAUAGCUAAACUUGAUCAAGCACACUGUCCUGUUAAAAUUUUAAGUGAUUAUUUAGACAAAAGCUAAAAAUAGACAGGUCCUCAGAUGAUUUUGUGUUCAGAGCUUUAUCGUAUUGUAAAAGUACAAACAACUGUAAGCUGAGAAAAAAGAAUAUACAACUAUCUUAUACUAGGACUAGAGAGAUUGUAAAAGGGGCUCUAUCGGAAAUAGGUUUAAACGCAAGAAUUUUUGGUACACAUAGUUUUAGGGCAGGCGGUUGCUCAGCCGCUAGUAACUCUGGUGUCUCGGAUAGAUUAUUAAAGAUUCACGGAAGGUGGAAAUCUGAUAUUGCGAAAGACAGUUACAUAAGCGACAAUUUGAAAAAACGCUUAUUAGUUUCAAAAUCUUUAGGUUUAUAAGAUUUAUUACUGCAAUUUCUUUCUUUGUACAAUCGAGAAUGGUCAUCGUGCCUGACAAGUUCUAAAACUAGUGUUUUAGUUAUUUAUAUUAUGAAUGAGAUAAGAAACAGAUUGGGCCGAGGGAUAUAGAAAUUAUAUAGUCUAGUACAUAAAUAAUUUAUGUUCGUUUGAACGAAGAGAAUUUAGAAAAUAAAUAUAUUUAUGUACGUGGCGGAAGAAUUUUAUCGUAUGAUAAUUCUAUUAAUAUAACAAUAGAAUUGUAACAGGUUUUAUGAACCCGAGUGUAUUUAAAUACGGUGGACUCGAUUUGAAAUUAUCGAUAAGGGCGUUGACCAUUCGCAUGUACACACGUAGUUUUUGUUAGUUAUACUUAAGCACAUAUAUAUUCGAAAACAGUAUUAAAUACUUUUUGUAACAUUUUUUGAUGGUUUUUUGUAGAUUGUUGAGGCAACC
rnacentral:lncRNA from 1 species